rnacentral:rRNA from 1 species
UGGGGAAUUUUGGACAAUGGGCGCAAGCCUGAUCCAGCCAUGCCGCGUGCGGGAAGAAGGCCUUCGGGUUGUAAACCGCUUUUGUCAGGGAAGAAAUCUUCUGAGUUAAUACCUCGGGAGGAUGACGGUACCUGAAGAAUAAGCACCGGCUAACUACGUGCCAGCGGCCGCGGUAAUACGUAGGGUGCAAGCGUUAAUCGGAAUUACUGAGCGUAAAGCGUGCGCAGGCGGUUUUGUAAGACAGAGGUGAAAUCCCCGGGCUCAACCUGGGAACUGCCUUUGUGACUGCAAGGCUUGAGUGCGGCAGAGGGGGAUGGAAUUCCGCGUGUAGCAGUGAAAUGCGUAGAUAUGCGGAGGAACACCGAUGGCGAAGGCAAUCCCCUGGGCCUGCACUGACGCUCAUGCACGAAAAGCGUGGGGAGCAAACAGGAUUAGAUACCCUGGUAGUCCACGCCCUAAACGAUGUCAACUGGUUGUUGGGAAGGUUCCUUCUCAGUAACGUAGCUAGCGCGUGAAGUUGACCGCCUGGGGAGUACGGCCGCAAGGUUGAAACUCAAAUGAAUUUGAC